AGCAGUAGCCGCGGUAAUACGGAGGGGGCUAGCGUUGUUCGGAAUUACUGGGCGUAAAGCGCACGUAGGCGGCUUGGUAAGUUAGAGGUGAAAGCCCGGAGCUCAACUCCGGAAUUGCCUUUAAGACUGCCGAGCUAGUAGGUGAGAGAGGUAAGUGGAAUUCCGAGUGUAGAGGUGAAAUUCGUAGAUAUUCGGAAGAACACCAGUGGCGAAGGCGGCUUACUGGCUCAUUCUAGACGCUGAGGUGCGAAAGCGUGGGGAGCAAACAGGAUUAGAGACCCCAGUAGUCCCUGUCUCUUAUAC
rnacentral:rRNA from 1 species